UACAGAGGUCUCGAGCGUUGUUCGGAUUUAUUGGGCGUAAAGGGCGCGUAGGCUGCGGGGUAAGUCAGGUGUGAAAUCUCAGAGCUCAACUCUGAAAUUGCACUUGAUACUGCUCUGCUAGAGGACUGGAGAGGAGAUUGGAAUUCACGGUGUAGCAGUGAAAUGCGUAGAUAUCGUGAGGAAGACCGGUGGCGAAGGCGGAUCUCUGGACAGUUCCUGACGCUGAGGCGCGAAGGCCAGGGGAGCAAACGGG
rnacentral:rRNA from 1 species